AGUCGAACGAGGUAGCAAUACCUAGUGGCGGACGGGUGAGUAACGCGUGGGAAUCUGCCUUUAGAUGGGGGAUAACGGGCCGAAAGGUCCGCUAAUACCGCAUAUGCCGCAAGGUGAAAGGAGUAAUCCGUCUAAAGAUGAGCCCGCGUCCGAUUAGCUAGUUGGUAGAGUAAGAGCCUACCAAGGCGACGAUCGGUAGCUGGUCUGAGAGGAUGAUCAGCCACAAUGGGACUGAGACACGGCCCAU
rnacentral:rRNA from 1 species